UGAACUACGAGUGCCAGACAAACUAGGCAGUGAAGCGCUGCAAGUGAAGGAGGGGGGCUCCUGCUGCUGGCCGAGCGGAUCGCACCAGGCUGAGCUCCACAGCCUGCAGGGACAUCGCAGAGCCACACCGCGCUGCACAAGAACAUCUCGGCACACAACACCGCUCCCAGUCCGCGGCACAGCAAACAGAAGGCGCUCGCGCCGUGUGUCUGUUACCAUUACCCCUCUUCAAAAUGCAGCGGAAUUGCUCACUUAGGAAAAGCCUCAAGACAACAAGCGUGGCCAUCUGUUGCUAAUGGAGCAUGCCCAAGACGCGGCUGCUCCCCGCUGUACAGGCACGGACCCAUCUCUGAAGGCUGCCUCCUAACUGCAUCUUAAUGUACUAAUCCAUACCGGUAAUUUUGAGAACGGGCUCCAAUUCAGCCAGGCGUAUUUAAGAAUCCGA
rnacentral:lncRNA from 1 species